UACGGAGGAUGCAAGCGUUAUCCGGAAUGAUUGGGCGUAAGCGUCCGCAGGUGGCUGUGUAAGUCUGCUGUUAAAGAGUCUAGCUCAACUAGAUACAAGCAGUGGGAAACUACACGGCUAGAGGUACGUUCGGGACAGGAGGGAAUUCCUGGUGUAGCGGUGAAAUGCGUAGAGAUCAGGAAGAACACCGGUGGCGAAGGCGCUCUGCUAGGCCGUAACUG
rnacentral:rRNA from 1 species